ACCACACUGGCAAAUGGAAAAGAAGAAGGAGGAGGUGCCUUAUACCAGAAAUCAUAUGAAGGCACCAUCAUGCAUUGGUUUGGAGAAGACUGCAUGCUGCUGCAAACUACCCUAAACAGUAGUAGCAUGGGCAUCUAAAUGUGAUGAAGCCAGGAUGUCGUCAGAUAAUGAUGGGCCGAGAACCAAUUCUUGUAAAAGAGUUGCGUGCUUUUUUGCCCAUUCUGCAAAGAAUGGGCAGCGGAUUCCUUCUUGGACUCAUAUGUAUGAGUAUAUUUUUGUGCUUCUUAUGAAACCACCACAAACUGGUAUAGGGGCAGGUACAUAUUUCAAUUUCUGUUUCUCAUUUUUCCAGUUUGAAGGUCAGUUCUCCACAUUUCCACACCAGCUUGCAAUUUCUUUUUUAAAAGUCCUCAUGAAAAUUCACCAGCAUUUUAGUGCACUUUUCUCCUAAUAAACACAUUUUUGCAUGCAAUUUUGCCUAGCCUGCACAUUUUGGCAUAUUUCCCCUAACACAAAACAUUUUUUGUACAUUUAUUUUCAUUAAUCUGUGAAUUGUGAUGCAAAGUUUUAUCUUGGUAUUUGCAUAUUUGUACACAUUACUUAGCUUGAGAAUAAGGGAAAAUUUGAAUUUUGAAGGGUGGCUACAUCUCAGUUUGUAUACUGCUUUAGAAAGUGCCAAAUUAGUUUUGCCUUUAAAUGUAAACUGAAUUGAGCUGGUAAUAUGUGGUAACUCACAGGACAGAAGGAAACUUUCCAUUCCUACAAAUAAGUCCAAUUAAACCCCUGAGCCCAGAGAUCUGGGUCCACCUGCAGA